rnacentral:lncRNA from 1 species
CUUUUUGCCAUUUCUUGGGCUGCUCCCGCAGCAUAUGGAGGUUCCCAGGCUAGGGGUUGAAUCGGAGCUGUAGCCACCAGCCUCCGCCAGAGCCACAGCAACGCAGGAUCUGAGCCGUGUCUGCAACCUACACCACAGCUCACGACAACGCCAGACCCUUAACCCACUGAGCGAGGCCAGGGAUCAAACCUGCAACCUCAUGGUUCCUAGUCGGAUUCGUUAACCACUGAGCCAUGACGGGAACUCCAACCUUCCCUAUUUUUCAAAUGUUAAUCCUACUCUUGUUAAUUGAAUUUUCACAUGGGGGUUUCAGUUUACAAUCAAACAGAUCAUAAACUCUUUCAGGGUAGAAAUAAUCAAACAUAUUAUUUCUUCAGAUCCUGUACUUUGCCUCUAACAAUGAAAACCCACACAGCAUUUGUUUGAAGAGUAAAAGACUGAGGGUCUCACUUAGGUGGAGAUAUUAGGAGGAGAACAUGGACAUAGAUGAAAUACCUCUGGAUUAAAAGAAUUUGAACUUUUACUUAGAGUCUCAAUACUUCAAAGUUAGGAUAUUUGCUCUAUUAGGUAGUUGUGCUGCUGCCCCUUUUUUUGAAUAUGCUAAAAUGUGGUUUCGCUUCAGUGUCAUGUGUCAAACAAUUUUAUAGUAUUGUGAGGUGUGAAAUCUAGCCUGGAAAUUUUAAUGAAAAAUUAGUCUUGGAGAACUUCUUGAAUUUGAUUUUUAAUUAGAAUUCAUCUUAUUUGCAUUUUAUUACAGAUUAAUUUUGAACUAAUUUAGGAUUAAAUAAAUGACAAUAAUCUUGAAAUCAGGAAACUGACUUAACUGUAAGAAAUAGUUAUUUCUCAAUGUGAAAUGAGAAACAAAACGUUAUUUUUGUCUGAGAGGUCAUUGGAUUAGCUAAGAAAAGAUUUAAAAAGAAGGCUUUGGGAAAGAAAUUAAUUUGUAUUAAAGAACAUAUGUUAAUUUGACUUUUGAUGGGGAAAGCUAGUAGCUUAGAUUUGCUAACUGAAGAAAUGUUACCGAAAGUCUAAGGGUUGAAAAUAGGAUUUGUCUUUAUGAUUCAUUUCUAAUUAUUGUCUGGUUUAUUUCUGUAUUUUCUAAUUGAAAUAGCAUUUAGGCUUCUUUAAAAAUAUUAUUUUUGUUUUGUUUGUAUAUAUAUACAUUUUUAGAGAUCAUGUUUGAAAAUUUUUAUAGAUUUGCUCAGUCAAAAAAAUCUGCAGUUUCAAGGACCAAGCCCAACACAUUCCAAGCAGUUUGAAUAGAAAUAAAAAAAUCACACUUCUAUGUUAUAUUUAAACAAUAGAAAGCUAAAGACAAAAAAUAAUACUUGAAAAGGAACAAGAGAAAAAGAUCGAUUACCUUUCCAGGAACAAGACUAAGGCAAAGAGUAGAUUUCUCAAUAGCUGUGGUGAAAACCGGAAGACAUGGGAUUAUAUCUUUUUGUUUUGUUUGUUUGCAUAUUGAUCAAGUAUCCUGGGAUUGUGGUAAACACACUCAUUAGUUUCAGAAGAUUUUUAUUUAUUUAUGUAUUUAUUUUUAGGGCCGCACCUGCAGCAUAAGGAAGUUCCCAGGCUAGGGGUCGAAUUGGAGCUGCAGCUGCUGGCCUACACCACAGUCACAGCAAAGGCAGAUCAGAGCUGAAUCUGCAACCUGCACCACAGCUCAUGGCAAUGCCAGCUCCUUAACCCACUGAGUGAGGCCAGGGAUGGAACCCGAAUCUUCAUGGAUACUAGUUGGGUUUGUUACCCACGGAGCCAAGAAGAGAACCCUCUAUUUUUCUUGCCUUUAUGCACUGCUUAGUAUGAUGAUCACUGGGAGGGUGGGGGACACACAUCUUUGUCUUGCUCCCCAUCUCAGGAAGAAAGGCUGCAGUCUUACAGCAUUGCGCUCCUUGCUUGCUGAGAGAUUUUCUCGUGAAUGGAUGUGGAGUCUUGUAAUAUGCCUUUUCUGCUACUUGCUCAUUGUGUGAAUGGUUGCCCUGGCUCCCCUCAACCUGUGUAUACAGAGAUGUCCAUUGUUUAGGUUUUGAUUCCAUUAGGAAUCAUGGGCCUCACCUAGCAGGAUGUGUAAGUUUUCUGUAGUCAAAGCCAGACAUAAGAGAAAAAAGAAAUUAAGCUCUUACUCACUGGAACUGAUCAAAUGGUUUGCAUCAUCUACAAAAAUGUUGGACUAGAUGCCCCAUAAGGUUCUUCCCAAUCGUAAUACUUUAUGGUGCCAGAAGACAUAGUGCUUCUAUGUUUGCAUUUGGAAGUCAGAAAGCUUUGAAGCUAAAAGCGCAGUUCUGGACACAGAGGUCUAGGUAGGGCAGCGACACAAGGGGAACUAGGCAGUGAUGGGCAGCAUGGAGGCACUAGGUACUUAAGAAAUUGAAUGUGUGCAAACCUAGAUGCUAAAAAGAAAUCCAGGGAGCAGUAAAAGAAACAUUACAUUUCACAUAUGAUGAGACAGUCAACUUGUCUAUAUCUCACUCAACUUCUCUAUGUCAAAAUGGUUAUAAAUCAUUCAAAUACACCAUAUUGGAGUUCCCGUUGUGGCUCAGCAGUAGUGAACCCGACUGGUAUCUAUGAAGAUUCAGGUCUGAUCCCAAGCCUCAUUCAGUGGGUUAAGUAUCCGGCGUUGCUGUGAGCUGUGGUGUAGGUCAUAGACAUGGCUCAGAUCCCAGGUUGCUGUGGCUCUGGCCUAGGCCAGCUGCUGCCUCUCCAAUUUGACCUGGGAACUUCCAGAUGCUGAAGGUACAGCCCUAGAAAGACAAAAACAGACAAAUAAAAACAAAAAACACCAUAUGUUUGAAAACAUCAAUUAUAUUAAUACCAAAUAUAAAAAUUCUGAUUGUUAAAGUAGUCUAAAAGAAGCUAACGAAAUAUAUUUCCAAGUGGAAAGAAGAUAGUCUUUCCAUAUUGAAAGGAAUGUAUGUUUAUACUAGUCGGCCUUUCAGAAGAAAUUUGGUCUUACUUCCAAGAGGUCCAGGUAAAUUCCCAACUUCAUUUUCCAAAUUUGAUAAAUUACACAAACAUUUCCUAGACUCUAUCUUGGUCAUUAUUUUUUUUGUCUGAUGUUUCCAGAAAUAUGCUUUUUUUUAAUAGGUCCUUGUGUAUUUAUUUUUAGGUAAAGCACUUUACCAAUGCAUUUAUCAUUUUAUGGCACUCUGUCGUGGUUCUUUCUUUAUCAACUUAAAAGCUUGCUAAAGACACUAAUUUCCAUUGCUGCAAGGAUACUCAGAUUCCAGUAUCUUAACAGUAGCAAGAUCUCUCUCUUUUGAAUUGUAGCUUACUUUCCUGGUCAGGCAGCCCAAAUCACCUCCUGGUAAAAGAGGGAUUGUUAUGGUGUUCUUAAGAGUUAAUCAGUCAUAUUCUGGCUCUGGGAUAUUUUGAGUAUCUUUUCCAAUUUUUAGUCAUCUCUUAGGGAAGUUUUAAAGGUUGAGUAGAUUGGCAUGACUGUUUGAUAUACCACCUGUGAGGAAUUCGGGAAAUUUCUCUUAAUGAAAAGGCUUUAAUGAAAAAUCCUUAUGGCAUGUAUACAUUUGUUUAGAAAAACCACAAGUGAUGAAAAUUGCUUUUGUGGCUAAGUAACUUUUUAGGCAUUAAUCAAAACUUUAAAGAUCUAUACUGUGGGCCUGCAAGAUGGUAAUAAAUGUGUUUUGCUGCAUCGUCUAUUAAUAGCUUUGAUGUCUUAUUAAGACAAUUCUGGGAAAUGGAAGCUUAAUUAGCUAGCUGACUCGAUUUGAAAGAGAUUUUCAAAUACUGUCCUCCAAAGCAUUAACUUUGAGAUGUUCCAGCUGGAACCCAGGGUUUAGCUGAGUUGUAUUUUUAUGACAAUUAUCCCAUAAUAAGUAUGCAGAACCACAGUUCAUAGAUACUUUCUCCUGCUAGUUUCUAUACUCUGCUGAGUUGCUUAGAGCACAAGAUCUCCGCUCGCAUGGGGUUGUGUUUAAGUCUACUAUUUUGAAAGGAUGCAGCCCUCUGCAAAGUGAGGGAUCUCACAUAUGGUCCAGCCUGGGGAAGGGUCAACACUUUCUCCUUGAUCAAUAUUUUCUGCAGUACCGUGAUGGGGAGGCCUGGAGGUGGUAGAGAGAUGGACUCCUGAGAAUUAAAGGUAUCCCAGUCCAGGCUGGAGCAGAAAGUUGAGUGUAUGCCAAGGCGUUUGGGAAAAUACAUAUCAUGGUGUGAGGAAGUUGAGAACACAUUUUUUUUUUUUGGUCUUUUUAGGGCUGCACCCACAUCAUAUGGAGGUUCCCAGGCUAGGGGUCCAAUUGGAGUGGUAGCUGCCCACCUACACCACAGCCACAGCAACAUGGGAUCGAAGCUGCAUCUGCGACUUACAUCACAGCUCACGGCAACACCGGAUCCUUAACCCACUAAGCAAGGCCAGAGAUUGAACCCACAUCCUCAUGGAUACUAGUCAAGCUCCUUACUGCUGAGCCACAGCAGAAACUCUUCAGCCACUUUUAAAAAACAAAACAAAACAAAAACUACUAAGCACAGAAAUGUCUCUUCAUCUAAAGAAAGGGAUUCCUUUGAAAAACGUAGUAAUGGUAGUCGUAGUAUUAUUGCAAGCACAUUUUUUUUUUUCUUACUCCUGAUGUUUCUGAGGGGGCUGAACUGGUGAAAUACAAUGUUUCCCCUACCUCUUUACCACUUACUUUAUUUUUUACUCCAGUUGAAAGAGGCGUCCUGCCUCUGGCUCCUUCACUCAGGAGGUCUGCGCCUGGGCAGUUCUGUUUGUGGAAAGGCCAUUUAGUUCUCACAUGAAGCUCUCCACUCCAUCUUAAUGCAUUAUUACAGUGGUACUUUGGCCUUUACCAGCUCUCCUUUCUUUUCUUUCUAAAUUGAUUCAGAAUUUGGAGAGAGAAAAAGCGUGCUCUUUCUCGGGCCUCCUGGGAAACCCCAGCAGUAACACCCAUGAACACAUACAGGGCGGUUUCACAUCCUAGAUUGUCCUUGUUACUGAUAGCAAGAUAGAGGUUUUCCUCUCAUUUGGCGUAUGGCCAAUG